GAUGAAGAACGUAGCGAAAUGCGAUAACUAAUGUGAAUUGCAGAAUUCAGUGAAUCAUCGAGUCUUUAAACGCACAUUGCGCCCCCUGGUAUUCCGGGGGGCAUGCCUGUCCGAGCGUCAUUGCUGCCCUCAAGCACGGCUUGUGUGUUGGGCUCCGUCCCCCCGGGGACGGGCCCGAAAGGCAGCGGCGGCACCGAGUCCGGUCCUCGAGCGUAUGGGGCUUUGUCACCCGCUCUGUAGGCCCGGCCGGCGCCAGCCGACAACCCAUCAUCCUUUUCAGGUUGACCUCGGAUCAGGUAGGGAUACCCGCUGAACUUAAGCAUAUCAAUAAGCGGAGGA
rnacentral:misc_RNA from 1 species